rnacentral:rRNA from 1 species
AUGGAAACUCUAGCUCAUUCAACUGAGAAAAGAAGAAGAAAAAGGAAUAAUAAACUGAAAAGGAAAGGGCCUAUUCUACGGGGCACAUUGGCCCAUCUGACAAAUGAGAGGCCCAGCCCACCUAUCUCCCCACUCAUCUCCCUCCUCUGUACAGGAGGCAGGGGCGUGGCGUCCAUCCAUGGCGCCAUGGCCGUGGUGGCAGCCAUCCGCCACCCCCCGACACCCUAUAAGACCUCGAGCACCCUCUCCCUCCAUGGAACCCUAGCGCCCACCCUCUCCUUCUUCCUCUUCGCGCUGCGUCUCUCCCUCCCACGCAUGGCCGAGUUGUGGUCGCCAUGGUCGUCGUCAUCAUCGCGGCCACCGUCCACCUCAGCACCUGAGAAGACAUCCAGGAGCUCCGCCGUCGUCGCCUCCUUACUCUACGCCCUUCGGUUCAUCGCCAGGCCACCGCCAAGCUCGCCAUCGCGGGUCUUCUCCGCCACGGCCGUCAUCACCUCGCCGCUCGAUCCGCUCGUCUCCGACCAGCCCUGGUCUCCCCGACCUCGCCAUCGAGCUCGCGACCCCGGGACCGAUGAUGCCCCUAUGAUCGACUACGUCAACGACGACCCCUCCUUGCCAGAGCAACCAGAUGGUGGAGUCCAGGAGCCAGAUGCCACCUUUGACGACUGCUGCUACCCCAAGGGUGCCUACUACCACGUGACGGACACCGACGACCAGGAGUAG